AACGAACGCUGGCGGCAUGCCUAACACAUGCAAGUCGAGCGAGACCUUCGGGUCUAGUGGCGCACGGGUGCGUAACGCGUGGGAACCUGCCCUUAGGUUCGGAAUAACUCCCCGACAGGGGUGCUAAUACCGGAUAAUGUCUUCGGACCAAAGAUUUAUCGCCUUUGGAUGGGCCCGCGUUGGUUUAGCUGGUUGGUAGGGUAAAAGCCUACCAAGGCGACGAUCCAUAGCUGGUCUGAGAGGAUGAUCAGCCACACUGGGACUGAGACACGGCCCAGACUACUACGGGAGGCAGCAGUGGGGGAUAUUGGACAAUGGGCGAAAGCCUGAUCCAGCAAUGCCGCGUGAGUGAUGAAGGCCUUAGGGUUGUAAAGCUCUUUUACCCGGGAUGAUAAUGACAGUACCGGGAGAAUAAGCACCGGCUAACUCCGUG
rnacentral:rRNA from 1 species